rnacentral:rRNA from 1 species
UACGUAGGGGGGCAAGCGUUGUCCGGAUUUAUUGGGCGUAAAGAGCGUGUAGGCGGCUAGAUAGGUCCGUUGUGAAAACUCGAGGCUCAACCUCGAGACGUCGAUGGAAACCAUCUGGCUAGAGUCCGGAAGAGGAGAGUGGAAUUCCUGGUGUAGCGGUGAAAUGCGCAGAUAUCAGGAAGAACACCUAUGGCGAAGGCAGCACUCUGGGACGGUACUGACGCUGAGACGCGAAAGCGUGGGUAGCAAACAGG